rnacentral:rRNA from 1 species
GACAGAGGGUGCAAACGUUGUUCGGAAUUACUGGGCGUAAAGCGCGUGUAGGCGGCUAAGUAAGUCGGGCGUGAAAUCCCACGGCUCAACCGUGGAAGUGCACUCGAAACUGCAUAGCUAGAGUCCUGGAGAGGAAGGUGGAAUGCUUGGUGUAGAGGUGAAAUUCGUAGAUAUCGAGAGGAACACCGGUGGCGAAGGCGGCCAACUGGACGAAGACUGACGCUGAGACACGAAAGCGUGGGGAGCAAACAGG